ACUGAAUACGGUAAUGCAGGUUCCGUCAGGAAUAACAGAGAAGACCGGUUAAAAGCCGGCGCGGUCCCGCCGCUGUAAGAUGGAGCAACGCCUAUAGAACCACUGGAAUAUUCCGGGAAGGAAGGCCGAGCCAUGAAGUCAAGCCAGAAGAACUACCUGCAUCGCGAUCUUAGUG
rnacentral:ncRNA from 24 species